rnacentral:rRNA from 1 species
GGCUCAGGACGAACGCUUUCGGCGCGCCUAACACAUGCAAGUCGAACGAGAGAUGAGGAGCUUGCUCUUCAAAUCGAGUGGCGAACGGGUGAGUAACGCGUGAGGAACCUGCCUCAAAGAGGGGGACAACAGUUGGAAACGACUGCUAAUACCGCAUAAGCCCACGGCUCGGCAUCGAGCAGAGGGAAAAGGAGCAAUCCGCUUUGAGAUGGCCUCGCGUCCGAUUAGCUAGUUGGUGAGGUAACGGCCCACCAAGGCGACGAUCGGUAGCCGGACUGAGAGGUUGAACGGCCACAUUGGGACUGAGACACGGCCCAGACUCCUACGGGAGGCAGCAGUGGGGAAUAUUGCACAAUGGGGGAAACCCUGAUGCAGCGACGCCGCGUGGAGGAAGAAGGUCUUCGGAUUGUAAACUCCUGUUGUUGAGGAAGAUAAUGACGGUACUCAACAAGGAAGUGACGGCUAACUACGUGCCAGCAGCCGCGGUAAAACGUAGGUCACAAGCGUUGUCCGGAAUUACUGGGUGUAAAGGGAGCGCAGGCGGGAGAACAAGUUGGAAGUGAAAUCCAUGGGCUCAACCCAUGAACUGCUUUCAAAACUGUUUUUCUUGAG